rnacentral:snRNA from 1 species
UAAUUACCACCGAGCGGCGGG